rnacentral:lncRNA from 1 species
UUUAUGGUGGAAUGGCUUUGUGCCUCGCACACUACUACACACAAAUAAAUCAUAGCUUAGUUUUGUAAUAUAUAUAUAUAUUUAGAAGCUAGGGUUUGUGAGUGUACGUAGUAGUAGCCAUUGUAGCCAACCUUCGGGUUUGGAUUUAUAGCACCUUCGAGGUAUUUAUCAAUAUACAGAUAUACCUUGGAAAAUAUUGUGUGUUGGUUUAAUAUUUUCAUAUCCUCAGAAACCGACCCAAUAAAUAUCCGGAACACGAAACCCAUUACAGAACUGCAAUUUGUUUAUCCGCAAGAUUCGAAAGAAUUUUAAAUUGUAGUGAGUAUCGUAUUCAACCCCCACUUCUACGAUACUUUGGACCUAACACUUAAAAUUUGAAUUUUAUUCGAGAUUAAAGACGCUAUAAACAAACUUAUAUGCGUCGAUCUUGAAUAUUAUUUUCACAAUUUAAAAAUCAUCAAAGAAUAUAAUGAUUUUCCUAAAAUAAAACAUAUUAUUAGAGUUAAGUUCCAUAAAAUCCACAUUUAAGCUGUAGUAAGUACCGGUCAUAAUCUUUUAGUGUAGUCGUAAAAAAUAUUUUUAAUUAUUCAAAUUUAUAUUAAUUUAUCAUCUUUAAGUAGUUUUAAAUAUAAUUAUCAAUUAAUCAUUAACAUCUUUCAACUCUAACAAUCAUUAAGAUCAUUAUUCUCUAUAUGAGUUAUAGUUUAGAACAUAUAUAGUGUUUAGUGAUUUAUAAAAUAAUUGUUUUAUUUUUUGAUUGCAACGAUUAUAUCGUAGAAUAUAAUCUGCGGAUUGUCGGGUGUUUACAAAUAUUGUAGACUAAACAAAUUAAAAUUAAAAUGAAUAUCUUUUUUUUAAAAUAAUUUUGAACUCCAAUACUCCUUAUUUUGUGAACUCCAUAGAACGAGGACCCAUAUUGUUAUUUAAUAAAUUUAAAAUAAGAUCAAAUUUUGAUAUAUUGAAAGUCUUAUAUCUAAAUAACAGUAACUUAAAUAUCAUUUAAAAAUAAUAAUUUAAAUAAUUAUAAUAAAAAUAUGAUAAUGUAAUUAAAAAAACAUUACUUUUCCAAUAAAUAAUAAAUUUUAAAAAUUUACAUCAACUAGUCAUAAUUUUAAAUUAUAGUGUUAAUUUAGUUGCAGUUACUAAUGUGAGAAAAUAAGUACAUCUAUAUACUUUUGCUCAGCCUGUAUAGCUGUUUUAAUAAAAAAAAAUUAUAUUAUAACUCAGAUAAAAAAUUAUUUUAACCGCUUUCCCGUCAAAAUAAUACUAAUAGAAAUUUAUUAUUAUUUAGAUAAAAAUUAAUUUGGGCCGCCUUCCUCUCAAACACGAUACUAAUCAAGAAUCAUUUAUGACAAAAUUAUAAUCAUAAUUGAAUAAAUAUAUCCAAUUUCAUAGAUUUUAGCUAUUAUAUUUUUCUUUAAGAUUCCUAUAUCUUAAUUGUUUAGAAUUAUCUCUCUUUUCUUUUAGGAUUUUUAUUUCUUAACUACUUAGAAUUUCAUAGAUUUUAGUUAUUAUAUUUUGGUUAAAAUUCUAAUUUUUUAACUACAUAGAAUUAUAUAUCUUUUACUAUUACUAUUUUUUAGCUACCUUUUCUAGAGACUACACGUAACCUCCCCCGUAUCCUCUCAAGAAUCAUCUACAUUAUGAUAAAAUUAUAAUUAUAAUUUGAUAGAUAUAUCCAUUUUCAUAGAUUUUAUUUUUUUAAUUAUUUAGAAUUAUCUUUCUUUUCUUUUAAGAUUCUUAUUUGUUAACUACUUAGAAUUUCACAAAUUUUAGCUAUUAUAUUUUUGUUAAGAUUCCCAUUUCUUAACUACUUAGAAUUAUAUAUCUUUUACGAUUACUAUUUUUUAGCUAUUUUAUCUAUUUUCUCUUAAAAAAUUAAAUGAAGAAUUUCUAGAGCGCCACCUAACCGCCCUGCAUCCUCCUUUAUUGAUGAUUGAUUGAUUGAUUGAUGACAUCUAUGAGGGAGCAUAAUUGUUUAAACUAAGCCUCAAUAAAAUAUUUGUUAAUUCUUCAAAAAAAUUGAAUUUUUUAUAAUAAAAUAAGGCUAUAAAUUUUAUAACUUUUGAAAAUAAAAACUGUAUUUUUUAAUUAUAUUUGUUCUAAGAUCAUUAUUUUGAAUAAAUAAAAUCUUACUCCUUUUAUGAUUCUCAAAUAAGAAAAAGAAAUAUAUUAGUUUUACAAUCUUCGAACAUGAAUUUUAGAUUAUAAUUUUAAUUUUUAUUUGAAAUUUAAGAUAUUUAUACGACAAAAAUCGAACAAUUCUAGACACGACACGUCAUAUAUUUCGGAUAAAUAAAAUUCUACUCUUUUUAUGAUUCCUAAAUAAAAAAAAAGAAUUGUAUUAUCUUUACAAUCCUUUUGCCUUUACAAUACUUAAACCUGAUUUGUAGAUUAUAAUUUUAUUUUUCUAUUUGAAAUUUAAGAAAAUUGUAAGACUAAAUCGAACAAUUUUUAAUUUUUUUUUCAAUUCUAAAUUUAAGAAAAUUAUUUUUAGAUAUAUAAUUUGAAAUAAUUUAAUUAAAUAAGACUAUAAUUUUAUAAUUUGUAGAUUUUAACUAUUGUAUUUUUUUUAAGAUUCCUAUUUCUUAACUACUCAGAAUUUUAUAGAUUUUAGUUAUUAAAUUUCUUUUAAGAUUUCUAUUUCUUAACCGUUUAGAGUUAUCUCUCUUUUCUUUUGAGAAUCCUAUUUCUUAACUACUUAUAACUUUAUAGAUUUUAGCUAUUAUACUUUUGUUAAAAUUCCUAUUUCCUAACUACUUUGAAUUAUAUCUCUUACUAUUUUUUUUAGCUAUUUUCUCUAACAAAAAAUUAGAAAAAAUAAACGAAGGAUUUCUAAAGCCACCCGCAUUCUCCUUUNAUACACCCACACUCUCCUUUAUAUAUAUAUAUAUAUAUAUAUAUAUAUAUAUAUAUAUAUAUAUAUUGAUUUCUAUAUUGAUUAAGAUUUUAUAAUUAUUAAUAUACUACUAUAAAAAGACUUCUACGGUGUUUAGGAUUUUGUAAUAUAACAUUUAUCCUAUCCACACAGUUAAAUCGCUAAAAAUUUAACUUAUGAAACAGUUCUAUAAAAUUCAUAUCAAAAUUUGGCUAUCAUCAUAUUAUUUUUAUUUAAGAAUUAUUACUAUUAUAAAAGAAACUUCUAUAUUUCGCAGGAUUUUGUAUUAUAAUAAUUAUCUCACUAAUAAAAAUAUAUUAUCACAAAAUUAUUUGUUUUAAUUUUUUAAAACUCAAAUAAUUUAAUAUACAAAACAACUCUGUAAAUCUUAUAUUAUGCUUCAGAUUUCAAAUAAAUAAGAAAUUCAUAUUGAUAUUAAUAUAAUAUCCAUAUAUAGCUUUUAUCAAUAAGCGGAAUCAAUAUUAUCAAAAUUCUAAUUAUCAAACUACCAAAAUUUGGUUAUUACCAUAUAAUUUUUAAUAAUUAUUAUUAUUAUCAUAUAACUUUGAGAAUACUUACAUGUAUGAUCAGAAUUUUUAUAAUAUAACGAUUAUCAUACCAAUAAAAUUACAGUCAACAAAGCUACUCAUUUUAAAUUUAAAACUCAAAUAAUUUAUUUUAUAAAAUAACUUUAAUUUGGUUAUCAUCAUUUUUUUUUAUUCGGUCGUAAUAAUAAUUAUACUAUUAUAGAGUUUAUAAUAAAAUAAUAUCCUUCCAAUAAAAUAAUAAUGUCAACGAAAUUAUUCGUUUUAAUUUUUAAAACUCAUAGGAUUUAAUUUACGAAACAAAUCUAUAAAAUUUCUAUCAUAUUUUAGAAUUAAAAUAAACAACUGUUUCAAAAAAAUUAAAAUAAACAAGAAUCACUAUUGAUACCAAAUUACCAAAAAACCUGGUCAUAUAUUAUUUAGUAAUAAUUAUUAUUAUCAUUCAAUACUCUUCAGAAGAUUGCGAUAAUGACGAAUAAGGCGGUGGUAACACUAACUCAAUAAAUCGAAACUCAAAGAGAAUGAAGUUAUUGUCCAUAUUGCAACAUAUAAUAAAACAACCAAAACACAAGACAUAUAAUUACCUUUGUCAAACUAUAAUAUUAGUUUAUCAAACAACUAAAACAUCACGGUUCGAUCUAAAAAACUCUAACUAGAAUUAUAUAUAAUAUUUCCUUAUUAGAUGAAUAAAAUAAUUGCGAUAUAAAAUUUCGAUUUUUUAUUCAAGAUUAAAGACGCUAUAAACGAACUUAUAUGUGUUGAUCUUGAAUGUUAUUUUCACAAUUUAAAAAUCAUCAAAGAACAUAAAAAUUUUAUUAAAAUAAAACAUAUAGUUAGAGUUAAGUUCCAUAAAAUCCGCAUUUAAGUCGUAGUAAGUACCAGUCAUAAUCUUUUAGUUUAAUCAUAAAUAAUAUCUUUAAUUAUUCAAAUUUUAUAUAUAAUAUACCAUUUUUAAGUAGUUUUAAAUCUAAUUAUCAAUUAAUGAUUAACAUCUUUCAACAUUAACAAUCAUUAAGAUCGUUAUUCUACUUAUGAGUUAUAUCUUUAAACAUAUAUAGUGUUUAGUGAUUUAUAAAGUAAUUGUUUUAUCUUUUGAUUGCAACGAUUAUAUUGUAGAACAUAACCUGCAGAUUGUUAGAUGUUUACAAAUAUUGUAAACUAAAAAAAUUAAAAUUGAAACGAGUAGAUUAUUUUUAAAUAAUUUUAGAUUCCAAUACUCUUAUUUUGUGGACUCCAUAAAACAGGGACCCAUAUUGUUAUUAAAUAAAUUUAAAAUAGGAUCAAUAUAGAUAGUCUUAUAUUAAAUAAUAAUAAUUUAAAUAUCAUUUAAAAACAAUAAUUUAAAUAUAUAUAAUAAAAAUAUGAUAAUAUAAUUAAAAAAGACAUUAUUCUUCCAAUAAAUAACAAAUUUUAAAAUUUUAUUUAAAGCACGGGUUAUCAACUAGUAUCUAAAAAUGAAAAUUUUGGAGGCCAACAAGCAAAUUUUUAGAAAACACAUGUAUAUUUUCAAAUUAUCUGGAAACACUUUUAUAAUUUCGUGAAAUUUAGAAUUAUUCAAAAACACACUGCAUUAUUAAUUGUUCAUACCAGCUCCUUCCUAGGCCAGCUGCUUGUUUUGUAAACAGACGAAUAGGCACACUCAAAUGUGAAUACUAUAUUCAAAUUAUUCAAAAACACACUGCAUUAUUAACAAUGUAUCAUCACUAAAGUAGAAAAUAAAACUGAGGUGACCGAACUUUUAAUUGUUGUAUUUCAGACUAAAAAAUAAAUGCAAAAGAAGUAUCGUAAAAGGGCCAAAACCAAUAACAUUGUAAUAAUUCAUGAACCCAAAAAAGGCCACUGAUUGCGUCAGGGAUCUUGCAUACGUGCAUUGUUGCAGUUUUUUUUACCUGUUACAACAGUUUACACUAUAUACCACACACCCAUCCUGAGUGUAAUAACAAAAGGUUGUUUGGAUACUUCAGGCUUAUUUCAGCUGUAAGAGAAAUGGACUCUGACUUGUUUCGAAGUCCAUAUCGUUAUGCACAGGCUUCUUUGUGGUGCCCACUCUUGCAGGUCUUGACUGGUUUGCAUUUGCAUUGUUGGAGUUGUGGCUGCUGUUUCUUGAUGUAGGUGUAUCGUGAUUGUGUUUGCCUUCAUAUGAAGUAAUGACAGCUUUAGGGUCGGUUGAAGCCCUCUCAACAUGCUUUCUAACAUUGCAUCCUGCGUAAGUGCAUUUGUAAUAGCUCCUGAGAAUAAAAUAAGACGGCGUCAGAGCUGAUCUUUAGAAAGUAGGACAACUUGUAUUAGAACAUGGAUAGCUGGAAGGUCGGAGAGAAAUUAAAAAAACAAACAAAAAGGCUGCUUUUCACAUAACAAUAGAAACCCUAAGAAUUUAAAAAAGAGGGGGGAAAAAAUAAUCAUUUUUUCUAAUUUUUCUAAACCUGCUGGACUAAGUACAGGCCAUUCUAAAGCGCGUGUUAUAAGCUUAGGUAUAUACAAGGUACCAUCAAAGACUAUGAUUGAUGAAAAUCACAAGUGAAGAUGCAUCUACAAAGUUGGUUACCAUUCCUAUAUUCAUCACAACCAGCAUUAAAUCCUUUUAAAAGUUUCCAGAAUAUUUAUCAUAAUUGAUGCCAAGUUUACAUAUUCCUGCCAACUCAAUUCAACCACCAGAGCUCCUCUGUAGCGUCAACUACUAACAAUAACGGACAACUUAUUAAUGAAACUAAUUCUAAGUAGGCAUAAUCUCGAACCAUUGUAGAUCCCAAAUAGUUCUUUUAUCCAUCAGAGAAAUUACUGUCAUAAGGAUGAUUAUGAUUCUUUUAUGAGACAACUGGUGACAUACAUUUACCACAAAAUUCUAUGAGUUACACGUGCACAAACUCGAUGGGAUAAGUAUUUGUAGUGCAACAAUAAGAACUAAUACGCAACUAAUUUAUCAUUUCAAACAUCCAAAAAGUCUACAAUAAUACUCAAAUUAUAGAUAAGAAAUAAAAUAACAACCUUGGAUUUUGAUUACCCUUGACCACUUUCUGUCCAUAUUUUCUCCAUUUGAACCCAUCAUCUAGAAGAUCAACUUCACUUCUAGUUUGUACAACUAUUCUUGACUCUGUUACUGCUCUAUGGGAAAUUGGUAACUCCUGCGUCCCAACCUCUAUAUUCCUGCAUCCCACAGUAUAUUACAUUAAUCAGUUUUAUAAAAAUUUUGGUGAGCAAACUACAGGUUAUAUGAAUAUCAUCUAAGCAUGGGUAAAGAGAAAUUUAAUAUCAGCAACUUGCCUUCUUUUGGGAUUUGGUUCCCCAUCUUCGUACUCAUUUACUCUGGGUUCAGCAUCAUAUCCUUCCUCAUCAUUAGUUAAUUCAUGUGAUUGUUGGGGUACCAAUUGAGUUGAUAGCUGAUCGGUAGGUACUGCAUGGUAAGGUACAGUCUCCUCUGACCUACUUGAUUCAGUCUGACCUAUAAAAGCAGGCUCAACCUUUGCCUCGGCAUUUACAGCUCUACUGCGGUCGCUACCACCUUUUGUACGUUUAUUGGACAGAGGUAGCUCAUGGUUAUGCUGUCCUUUAUAGGUAAUCUCAGUUACCUGGCCAUUAGGAGAACAUUCAACUUUCUUUUUAACAGGACAGUUGGCAUAUGUACACUUAUAGUAGCUUCUUGGAUACUCGCUCGCUUUGACCUGCUUCUGCCCAUAUUUCCGCCAAUUGUAACCAUCAGCCCCAGGUUUAUCAGUACAAAGGGAAGUCGAUACUGACUUCCUUUCAAAAUUUGAGAUAUCUGGUGAAUCGAUUUUUGAAUUUUCAGGUUCCAGUUUUGCAUCAUGCAUUUGUUGUGUGAAAAAUAGUUCAGAGCUAGAGCUAGGAUGUGUCACAGUUUCUGCAGAGGCAGGUAAUAGAGAAGGCAGCUGACUGUCGGCUUGAAUAUGCUUAAAAGAUUGGGACUGGGACAAUGCAGCCUGAGCCGUAACAUGAGCCAGAGCUUGCUGGUGGGACAUCCCGAAAGGGCUCUACAUUAAAAAAGCAGACAGAUAUUCAUCCAGAGAACUUGUGAAUCAAUAUCCAGAGUGUCUAAAUAUCACAUAAGGUAUACCAGUAUAUUAUCCACAUACAUGAUGCCAGUUCAUGAAAGGAACAGUUUCCCAUCUACCCUCAACUACAAGGCAUAAACAGUUACUAUAAUUAAAAAAAGGGUUAAUUAUCAAAGUCGCACUCGUAUCAAGUCAGACUCUCAUUGCAAAAGCAACUCAACUUGGCCACUAAUUUUAAAAUUUGUAUCAACUUAGUCACCGGAUGGUCUCCUUGGUUUUCUAUCAAAUUAGUAACUCAGUUGAGUCUCUUUAGCAAUGAGCAAAACAUUUGGACGCAACUAGUGAUGACUUUGAUAGUUAACUCAAUAAUAAAAAUUGUUUCCUAUUCAUAUCACAUGAAAUCAACCAAAACAAAAAAGUUGUGAUAACUCAUCGAAAAAACAGAGUCUCAAAUUGGCCACUUUCAAGUCGGUGGUUUUCAAAUUAGCCACUUUCUAAUUCUGUCAUAAACUAACAAAAUCUCAAAUUUAUCACCGAAAAUCAGCAAUUUUGUGUGGAAAGUGGCCGAUUUGAGACCCCAAAUUUGUGAAUGGUAAAUUUAAAACUUUGUCCAUUAUAUAGUGGUCAAUUUGAUACUUAACCCGAAAAUUUAGUGGAAGCUAGCAAAGAUCCAGACUCGCUCCCAGAUUCUGCUUACAAAUAACUAUAAUUGGAACCAAAACUCUAAAAGAUCCAAACUUUCAAUAAUUAAAAAUACAAAAAUCAUCUAAAUUAUACCCAAAUUAAUUGUUUCAAGAUUCAACAAAUUACCUGAAGAGGUGAGAAAAACCCAGGUGAAUUAAGAAACCCAGAAGGGCUUAGCCCAGGAGGCAUCAUAAACAGAGGUGACUGAGCAACAACCAAAUUCAUAGGCCUAUUCUGCUUAAACCCUGAUUUCUUAUCACUCCCAUCUUCACUUUUCAUAUCUUUACCAGAAAGUUGACUCGUUUUUGCCACAGGAGAAGCCAUAGCUCCAGCAAGAAGCUGAGAGAAAGAACAGUUAUCUGAGUCUGGAUAAUACUCAUUGAAGAAAUUGGAGACAAGGGUCAUGGGGCCUG